rnacentral:rRNA from 1 species
ACGGGAGGCAGCAGUGGGGAAUAUUGCACAAUGGGGGAAACCCUGAUGCAGCAACGCCGCGUGAGGGAAGAAGGUUUUCGGAUUGUAAACCUCUGUUUUUAGUGAAGAAACAAAUGACGGUAGCUAAAGAGGAAGCCACGGCUAACUACGUGCCAGCAGCCGCGGUAAUACGUAGGUGGCAAGCGUUGUCCGGAAUUACUGGGUGUAAAGGGAGCGCAGGCGGGACUGCAAGUUGGAUGUGAAAUACUGAGGCUUAACCUCGGAACUGCAUCCAAAACUGUAGUUCUUGAGUGAAGUAGAGGUAGGCGGAAUUCCGAGUGUAGCGGUGAAAUGCGUAGAUAUUCGGAGGAACACCAGUGGCGAAGGCGGCCUACUGGGCUUUAACUGACGCUGAGGCUCGAAAGCAUGGGGAGCAAACAGGAUUAGAUACCCUGGUA